rnacentral:rRNA from 1 species
GACGAACGCUGGCGGCGUGCUUAACACAUGCGAGUCGAACGGAAAGGCCCUGCUUUUGUGGGGUGCUCGAGUGGCGAACGGGUGAGUAACACGUGAGUAACCUGCCCUUGACUUUGGGAUAACUUCAGGAAACUGGGGCUAAUACCGGAUAGGAGCUCCUGCUGCAUGGUGGGGGUUGGAAAGUUUCGGCGGUUGGGGAUGGACUCGCGGCUUAUCAGCUUGUUGGUGGGGUAGUGGCUUACCAAGGCUUUGACGGGUAGCCGGCCUGAGAGGGUGACCGGCCACAUUGGGACUGAGAGACGGCCCAGACGCCUACGGGAGGCAGCAGUGGGGAAUAUUGCACAAUGGGCGGAAGCCUGAUGCAGCAACGCCGCGUGCGGGAUGACGGCCUUCGGGUUGUAAACCGCUUUCGCAUGUGACGAAGCGUGAGUGACGGUAAUGGGUAAAGAAGCACCGGCUAACUACGUG